GGCAAUUAGGACAAGUCAUACUCCCAUCCAUUACUCUGAAUCCUAGGGGAACAGAUAUCCACCAGAAGGAUUACAUCUCUUCCUCACUUAAAACCAGAGGAAUCUUCUUUUCCACGUGGUGUAAAGUGCUUGUGAGGCUGUAAAUCACCUUGCUGACUGACCUUCCCAAGACAGACCAGGGCUCUCACUUGAAUCUUGAGCAGGACAAUCAAGGAUGGAAAAGCGUUGUUGGAGCCCAGACAUUCUAGCAGCAGCACCAUGACAUGACUGGUAGUAAUUCCUGCUGCACAGUCAGACAGCAUCCCUGGUUUUCACCUUCUACUUGAUCUUCCGUUCAGCCUUUCUAUCAGUUUUUUAACCAUGCAAAAAUCCUGCUAAUAAAUUACUUUCUUGCUUAAUUAUUAAGCAUUGGGUUUCUAUUGCCUCUCAGAAACCUCUAACUCAGACUUCCCAACAGAGAAAACUGCAAUGCAUUCUACAACUGCAAGGAACACUGACAGCUGUCAGGAUUACAAAAGGAUAGAAAUGCUGAGGAACUGUCUCAGUUGACAGAAGGCUAAGGAGAAAUGAACACUAAAUGAGAUCUCCAUUGGACCCUGCAUGAACAGGAAAGGCAACAGGGGAGGCAAGUCCUUCUCUAGUUGAUCCUCACAUAAGAACCAAUCCCUGACCAACACCUUAAUGACCAGCUUGUGAGACCUUAAGAAGAGCCAACUAGGUCACCCCAGACUUCUGAGCUGCAGGUACACUGAAAUCAUAUUCUUAUAGCUGCUUAGAUAGUGGUCAUUUGUUACACAGAGAGAAGAAGAAGAUAACAGUGUUGUGAUGCUACAAUGACCAAUUACAGAAUGAAGAAUCUUCUAUGCUACAAGAAAUUUGUUUCUCAAAAAUAUCCAUGCCUCAAAAAUCAAAACAACAACAACAAAAAAGGAUGAAAGGAUAUCAUUAAAGGAAAAAAGAAAAUUGGGAACACAAUCAAAUGCAUUAUGUAGGCUUUUCAAGGAUGCUGAUUCAAAUGAACCGAUUGCAAAAGAAAUACUUUGAGAAAAUUGGGGAGUUUGGAAAUAGCCUGAAUAGAUUACAAAAGGAUAGAAAUGCCGAGGAACUGUCUCAGUUGACAGAAGCCUACAGAGAAAUGAGCUCUAAAUGAGAUCUCCAUUGGACCCUGCAUGAACAGGAAAGUUAAGGUAAUACUUCAAGUAUUGUUAAAAGAUAUUUGUACAAGAAGACCGACUGAUAGCUGCCCAUUAGAUCCUUGUGCCUCCUUGGCAACCUGGAUCACCAGAUUCCUCUGAUAAGAAGUCCACCAGGAGCUUCUUCUGUUCCAAAUCCCUCUGCACUGCUCCCUGCCCUGGCAGCCUGGCCUGUAUGAACGGUAUCAAUGAUCUCUUUGCCUCAUGGUAUCUGACUGGCUUCUUCCAGUUGAGAGACCUAACAAGAGACAGAGGAAGACAGAAGAAACAAAAUAUUACUCACCCAGUUGCCUCUCCAUAGGUUCACCUUGGGACGUCAAAUAUACAGUGUUGUUCAAGUUUGUACAUGACUCUCUCCUUCUAGUUCUGGAAAAAGCUCUCUCCCUUUUCCCCUUUUGCCCUAGAGAUGAAAAUGGCUCAGCUGUAACUAAUCCUAGAACACUUUACAGUUCCGUUGGUGGUAGGCAGUGAUGAAUAGAAUGUUUGCGUUUUCUCCACCCACACCCCCAGCAUACACCCCAAAUUAAUGUACCUGAAUCCUAACACCAACAUGAUGAGAUCAGGAACCUUUCCCCCAAUCUCCAAAACUGUAAGAAAUAAAUGUUGUCCAAGUCACCCAGUCUAUGGUAUUGUUAAAACAUCUGCCUUGGCUACUCUCCCUUGGAUCACCUGAACUGGAGGACAUGAGCUGCCAUGAUCUAGAACGUGCUGUAAAAAAGCCCUCAUGGCAUGGGAUCAAGGUCUACCCCAAAACAUGGGAGUAAUCCUGGAAGCAAUUCUUCCAUCCCCAGGUCAGAUCUUCCCAGGAGACCACAGCUUUGCUGGUACCUUGACUACAGUCUCAUGAAAGUCCUUCAAUCAGAGCUACCUAGCUCAGCUCUGCCUGAAUUUCUGAACCCUCUUCCAUAUAUAUAUAUAUGAGGUAGUAAAUGUUUUAAGCUAUAAGGCUUUAGGUGAAUUUGUUAUGCAUCCAUAUAUAACUAAUAUACCUGGUGAUUUUCCUCACAUAAUGGCUGUGUGUUUGUAAAUAACCCUGCUGUUUUCUUCUUCAAAUUAUAAUAAUUUGAUUAUGCCAACUUUUCCCUGCUAAGAUCAUAAAUAAAAUAUUUUCAGACAUGUAGGAGAAAUGAAAUACUCUCCUCAGGUUUGUUUCCCCAAAGCAUAAAAAAUAGAUCACAGCUGAAUAUAGACAUUUCCCUCAAUCUUUGAGGACUCAAAUUCCCUUGAAAGAUUUCAGAUUUAUUUAUUAGGGUGGUAACUGGGGAGAUUUGUGUCUUUAAGGAUUUAAAUGAAAGAACAGUAGAAUGAAUUCGACCUACUUUUCCUAUGUACAUAUAUAAAUAUACCACAGUGAAUUUCACCAUCAUGUAUAUCCACAAGACACUAAUUAAAAAAAAAAACUAAGUAAAUAGCAGAAAGAUCAGUAGAAAAGAGAUCGGGGAAGGUAGGAGGGGAGGGAAAGUGGAAGUAUGGGGGACUGAAUUAGAACAAAUUAUAUUCCAUGCUUUUAUAGUUUUGUCAACAUGAAUCCUAACAUAAUGUGUAACUAAAAAGAACCAAUAAAAAUUAGUGACUUCUUAACUUUAAAAUGAGAAAUGGAGGUUACAGUUUCUUCUCCAAGAAUAUCUGGAAGCACUUCAGCACGGCACAUGCAGGGUGACAGACUUUAGAUUAAAAUGGCCAUGGGGUGGGUGGGUGUGAUACUGUGACACAUGUGUUUGUUCUUCAUGUUUCCUGGCAUGAAACUCCU